GACGAACGCUGGCGGCGUGCUUAACACAUGCAAGUCGAACGGAAAGGCCCUGCUUUUGUGGGGUGCUCGAGUGGCGAGCGGGUGAGUAACACGUGAGUAACCUGCCCUUGACUUUGGGAUAACUUCAGGAAACUGGGGCUAAUACCGGAUAGGAGCUCCUGCUGCAUGGUGGGGGUUGGAAAGUUUCGGCGGUUGGGGAUGGACUCGCGGCUUAUCAGCUUGUUGGUGGGGUAGUGGCUUACCAAGGCUUUGACGGGUAGCCGGCCUGAGAGGGUGACCGGCCACAUUGGGACUGAGAUACGGCCCAGACUCCUACGGGAGGCAGCAGUGGGGAAUAUUGCACAAUGGGCGGAGGCCUGAUGCAGCAACGCCGCGUGCGGGAUGACGGCCUUCGGGUUGUAAACCGCUUUCGCCUGUGACGAAGCGUGAGUGACGGUAAUGGGUAAAGAAGCACCGGCUAACUACGUGCCAGCAGCCGCGGUGAUACGUAGGGUGCGAGCGUUGUCCGGAUUUAUUGGGCGUAAAGGGCUCGUAGGUGGUUGAUCGCGUCGGAAGUGUAAUCUUGGGGCUUAACCCUGAGCGUGCUUUCGAUACGGGUUGACUUGAGGAAGGUAGGGGAGAAUGGAAUUCCUGGUGGAGCGGUGGAAUGCGCAGAUAUCAGGAGGAACACCAGUGGCGAAGGCGGUUCUCUGGGCCUUUCCUGACGCUGAGGAGCGAAAGCGUGGGGAGCGAACAGGCUUAGAUACCCUGGUAGUCCACGCUGUAAACGGUGGGUACUAGGUGUGGGGUCCAUUCCACGGGUUCCGUGCCGUAGCUAACGCUUUAAGUACCCCGCCUGGGGAGUACGGCCGCAAGGCUAAAACUCAAAGGAAUUGACGGGGCCCCGCACAAGCGGCGGAGCAUGCGGAUUAAUUCGAUGCAACGCGUAGAACCUUACCUGGGUUUGACAUGGAUCGGGAGUGCUCAGAGAUGGGUGUGCCUCUUUUGGGGUCGGUUCACAGGUGGUGCAUGGCUGUCGUCAGCUCGUGUCGUGAGAUGUUGGGUUAAGUCCCGCAACGAGCGCAACCCUUGUUCACUGUUGCCAGCACGUUAUGGUGGGGACUCAGUGGAGACCGCCGGGGUCAACUCGGAGGAAGGUGGGGAUGACGUCAAGUCAUCAUGCCCCUUAUGUCCAGGGCUUCACGCAUGCUACAAUGGCUGGUACAGAGAGUGGCGAGCCUGUGAGGGUGAGCGAAUCUCGGAAAGCCGGUCUCAGUUCGGAUUGGGGUCUGCAACUCGACCUCAUGAAGUCGGAGUCGCUAGUAAUCGCAGAUCAGCAACGCUGCGGUGAAUACGUUCCCGGG
rnacentral:rRNA from 1 species